GACGAACCGUGCGAACGUUAUUCGGAAUCACUGGGCUUAAAGCGCGUGUAGGCGGGACGGCACGUCGGCCGCUGAAAUCCCCCGGCUUAACCGGGGAACGGGCGCCGAUACGACCGGCCUGGAGGGACGUAGGGGGGGCCGGAACUUCCGGUGGAGCGGUGAAAUGCGUUGAGAUCGGAAGGAACGCCCGUGGCGAAAGCGGGCCCCUGGACGUCUACUGACGCUGAGACGCGAAAGCCAGGGGAGCGAACGGG
rnacentral:rRNA from 1 species